GUGCUGUUGCCCCAACAGCAGAGACCGCCCCAACCAAAGACAGGUCAGUUUAAAUGUUCCUUGUCCUUCUCCCAGAGCUUCAGUGGGGUUGGCUGGCUUGCAGAGCGAAUUAAUUAAGGAGAACAACGGCCUCAGCCUGGUGCGUGCAAGAAGCCUGCUGGCAGGUUAAAAAAGCAAAACAUAAGAUGUGGCUCCCCAGCACUGUAAAAGGCACUUCUGCAAGUGAACAGCUUGCCUCCCUCCCCCGAAGUGUCUAACCAAACAUGGAACACACAAGAGCAGAAGAAGAAAGAGAACAAGCGAGAAAGAAGAGCAGCAGCCCAGGAAACAGAUGGAGAAAUUGGGGGAUUGGGAGCUUUGCAUUUUCCCCAUUCGCCCAAAUUCAACAAAUAGGAAGGCUCCUCUGCAGCUCUCUCUCAGUCAGCAAAGAGCUUUCCAGGACAUUUUGUUUACUCAACACCUCUUCUCUGCCCUGCUUAAAUCUAUUCUGGAACAAGGAAGGGCAAAUAAAUUAAUUAGGCUGG
rnacentral:lncRNA from 10 species